AUUCCAGCUCCAAUAGCGUAUAUUAAAGUUGUUGCAGUUAAAAAGCUCGUAGUUGAACUUCUGGCUAUUCUUCCAGCUGGCUUCGGUCGCUGUAAGAGUGGUCAUCCGCUUGGGAACUACGUUCGAACUUCACUGUUCGGCGUAAGGAACAGGCAUUUUACUUAGAAAAAAUUAGAGUGUUCAAGGCAGGCUAUCGCCCUGAAUACACAAGCUUGGAAUAAUGAAAUAGGACUAUUUCCAUUUUAUUGGUUAUUGGAAUUAGUAAUGAUUAAUAGGGACAGUUGGGGACAUUAGUAUUUAAUUGUCAGAGGUGAAAUUCUUGGAUUUAUUAAAGACUAACUUAUGCGAAAGCAUUUGUCAAGGAUGUUUUCAUUA
rnacentral:rRNA from 1 species